GCAAAUUAAAAUAAAUUCAUACUCAAAACUCAACUCUUUCACCUUCAAACUUUCUUUGUAGAAAAAAAUAAACCUUCAAAAAAACAAAAAUGUGAAAGGGAAAGGGAAAUCAUUCAUCCAAAUCUAAAAUGCUAAAAUCUACAAACCUUCAAAAAACAAAAAUCUACCAACACAAAAUUCCUAAAAAAUCUUAACAAGUCAAAAACAACAUAGAAACAAAAACCAUCUUCAAACCCUUUUCACCUUCAAACUCAACCUUUCCUUUCAUCAUUACUAUCCAUAUCCAUCUCACCUUCUAACCCAAUCUUCAACCCUUCUCACCUCCUAACCAACCUUCAAAUUCAGAAACAAGAAACAAUAUAAAAAUACCAUCGCAGAUUCAACCCAACAGUUUCCAUUUCUAUUUCUUUUCUGGAUUUAUGUCAUAUCCAUGGCUUCUACCCAUUUUUCAAAGUCAAUCCACUUGACUCAGUUAAGAAUCUCCCUUUUAAGAAACAAAUAGAAAAUCUAUGAAAUUGAAUACAACUCAAAACUCAAUCGAAUAACAAUAACCUACAGACCGUUCGUUUAGCAAAGUAUAAUCAUAAUCCAUGAUUUUUCAAGCAAGUUCAGUUCUAGAUUAGUAAGGUUCAUGUGAUUUGAUCUAGAUCUAGUAAUCCAUGAUGCAUUGAUGCUUGAUGGAAGGUUGAGAGGAGGAAGAAGAUUUGGGUUUUUAGAUUUGGAUUCCUUUGCUGUUGAAUGUUAAUGAUAAAUAAAUUAUGAGUUUGAUUUUUGUUGGGUAUGAAUUUUCUUUAAUAUAUUGUGCUUUAUUUUGUUUUUGUUUUCAAAAUUAAUAUUAAUUAAAUUAAAAGCCAGGUAGACAUUAAAAAAUCCAGCAAAUUAUAUAAAUAUCCUAGUCAUAAUGCCAUAUCAUUGUAUUUAACAGAUAUUUAACGUUUUGGACU
rnacentral:lncRNA from 1 species